rnacentral:lncRNA from 1 species
CAGCGAUUUUAAGAACGAAGAGGGAGCUUGGGCAUAUUUUCAGGCGGAGUGGAAGGAUUCCAUGGAGACAGACUAAAUGCAAAAAACAAAGGGAUAAUUAUGAACCAUAAUUAUCACCUGGGUCGGAGUAGAUGAGGUGGGAGUUAGCCUUAAAGGGGAGUGGGGUAAUUUCUCAUCAAAAUCAGAAGGAAUGAAGACAGAUGGGUCAGUGGGCCCACACAUUUGGAGGUUCUCCGAAUACCAUCCAAAAUGUGAUCAAGACACAGGCCUUAUAAUUACGCAGCACAAGCCCAGAACAGAAAUAGCCAUAAAU